rnacentral:lncRNA from 1 species
AAUAGAAGCAGGUGCAGUUCCCUCACCUACACUUGGCUCACAUUCAAGAAGAAGUCAGCUAUACAGUUCUGAAUGUCCCAGAGCUGAGCUCAAUGAUCUUUCCUAAGAGACUGAUCAAGCAUUAUCUUCCACGGCUCUCUCUGUCAGUGCCUGUCUUUCGUUUUGCAGUUUCAGGUUCAGGACUCCUUCCAUUGAAUUUCAGUGGUUCCCAGAAAGAUGUGUGGACUCUUCUUCAUCAUAACAACCACAGUGAUAAUGAAAAUAAGUACCUGAGUCUGAAUCACAAGGUUGCUAUUAGAGGUGCUGAUUUUUGGUAAGUUGAUUCAUUUCACACUCAGUUACUUCAUCUAUAAAGUAAGAAUAGUAAUAGCCUCAUUCCUGGACCUGACCCUCUACUUUGUACCCUAAGACUGAUAUUUCUUCAUGAAUUCUGUUGGAGGUCCUAUAACACCGCAAUACCAACAGGCAGAAUCAGAAGCUAACUGUUGGUCUCUUACACACUUGGUUUAAGUCACUCUGAUCCUGUUUUAUUUCCAUUUUUCUCUCUCUGCAAAUUCAUGAGUUUCUUGAAAGCAGGGUCCAGUUCUUCCACACCCAUAUUCCUCAAGUGCUUUAGCCUAGACGUGAUGUGCAUGCUGAAUUCGUUACAAGUAGCCAGA